AAACCAUGCAUCGGGCACUUUCUACGUAAUUCUUUGAAUCUCUCCCAAGCAUCAUACAACGUCUCAUCCUCAGAUUGCCAAAAAGAUAUAAUAUCAUUCUUAAGCUU
rfam:Gossypium hirsutum cultivar TM-1 chromosome 24, whole genome shotgun sequence